rnacentral:rRNA from 1 species
AUUGAACGCUGGCGGCAGGCCUAACACAUGCAAGUCGAGCGGAUGAAGGGAGCUUGCUCCUGGAUUCAGCGGCGGACGGGUGAGUAAUGCCUAGGAAUCUGCCUGGUAGUGGGGGAUAACGUCCGGAAACGGGCGCUAAUACCGCAUACGUCCUGAGGGAGAAAGUGGGGGAUCUUCGGACCUCACGCUAUCAGAUGAGCCUAGGUCGGAUUAGCUAGUUGGUGGGGUAAAGGCCUACCAAGGCGACGAUCCGUAACUGGUCUGAGAGGAUGAUCAGUCACACUGGACCUGAGACACGGUCCAGACUCCUACGGGAGGCAGCAGUGGGGAAUAUUGGACAAUGGGCGAAAGCCUGAUCCAGCCAGCCGCGUGUGUGAAGAAGGUCUUCGGAUUGUAAAGCACUUUAAGUUGGGAGGAAGGGCAGUAAGUUAAUACCUUGCUGUUUUGACGUUACCAACAGAAUAAGCACCGGCUAACUUCGUG